GCCUACGGAGGGCAGCAGUGGGGAAUCUUGCGCAAUGGGCGAAAGCCUGACGCAGCGACGCCGCGUGCGGGAUGACGGCCUUCGGGUUGUAAACCGCUUUCAGCAGGGACGAGGCCGCAAGGUGACGGUACCUGCAGAAGAAGCCCCGGCUAACUACGUGCC
rnacentral:rRNA from 1 species